GCGGCCGUGGUGAAACUGGUAGACACGCCAGGUUUAGGUCCUGGUGGCGAAAGUCAUGGGGGUUCAAGUCCCUUCGGCCGUACCA
rnacentral:tRNA from 1 species